rnacentral:lncRNA from 1 species
GAUGAAUCAUGAAGACGAAUUUUGCAACUAAGAAUCAGUUUCAAAACACGAAUUUAAUGAUUUGAGCUCAUAAAGUUUCGAACUUUACCAGAACAAUGGCGUGUGAACAAGAAACCCAUCAAGCGAAGCAUGAUCACAAUAUCUAACAAACAUGAAAAAAAUCAUAAAAUUGGACCAACCUGAUCAUAUAUGUAAAAGAUGUAACUUUAAGCUGUGACAGAAGUCGUGGCUUCGUCAAAAUGACAUCUUGAAGACGAAGAAGCACAACAAAGUUCGUGGCUUCGUGCUCCCAAUUCCACAGACAUUCCACAGAAUCUUAUGGACCUUCUUAUAUUAAUACUUAGUACUUUGAUACCAAAAAAAAAAAAAGACAAAAUUAAGAAAACUUGGUCAUGC